rnacentral:rRNA from 1 species
UGGGGAAUAUUGGACAAUGGGCGAAAGCCUGAUCCAGCCAUGCCGCGUGUGUGAAGAAGGUCUUCGGAUUGUAAAGCACUUUAAGUUGGGAGGAAGGGCAUUAACCUAAUACGUUAGUGUUUUGACGUUACCGACAGAAUAAGCACCGGCUAACUCUGUGCCAGCAGCCGCGGUAAUACAGAGGGUGCAAGCGUUAAUCGGAAUUACUGGGCGUAAAGCGCGCGUAGGUGGUUUGUUAAGUUGGAUGUGAAAUCCCCGGGCUCAACCUGGGAACUGCAUUCAAUACUGACUGACUAGAGUAUGGUAGAGGGUGGUGGAAUUUCCUGUGUAGCGGUGAAAUGCGUAGAUAUAGGAAGGAACACCAGUGGCGAAGGCGACCACCUGGACUAAUACUGACACUGAGGUGCGAAAGCGUGGGGAGCAAACA